rnacentral:rRNA from 1 species
ACACGACUACAUUAGAUACCCGUGUAGUCCUAGCCGUAAACGAUACUCGCUAGGUGUCGGCCACGGUGCGACCGUUGCGGUGCCGUAGGGAAGCCGUGAAGCGAGCCACCUGGGAAGUACGGCCGCAAGGCUGGAAACUUAAAGGAAUUGGCGGGGGAGCACCACAACGGGUGGAGCUUGCGGUUUAAUUGGAUUCAACGCCGGAAAUCUUACCGGGACCGACAGCAACAUGAAGGCCAGGCUGAAGACUUUGCCGGAUUAGCUG